GACGAACGCUGGCGGCGUGCCUAAUACAUGCAAGUUGAGCGCUGAAGGUUGGUACUUGUACCGACUGGAUGAGCAGCGAACGGGUGAGUAACGCGUGGGGAAUCUGCCUUUGAGCGGGGGACAACAUUUGGAAACGAAUGCUAAUACCGCAUAAAAACUUUAAACACAAGUUUUAAGUUUGAAAGAUGCAAUUGCAUCACUCAAAGAUGAUCCCGCGUUGUAUUAGCUAGUUGGUGAGGUAAAGGCUCACCAAGGCGAUGAUACAUAGCCGACCUGAGAGGGUGAUCAGCCACAUUGGGACUGAGACACGGCCCAAACUCCUACGGGAGGCAGCAGUAGGGAAUCGUCGGCAAUGGACGAAAGUCUGACCGAGCAACGCCGCGUGAGUGAAGAAGGUUUUCGGAUCGUAAAACUCUGUUGGUAGAGAAGAACGUUGGUGAGAGUGGAAAGCUCAUCAAGUGACGGUAACUACCCAGAAAGGGACGGCUAACUACGUG
rnacentral:rRNA from 1 species